CCUCAUUGGAGAAGCUUGUUACGUGGCGAGCGCAAGCGAACUUUACGUAGUGGGAAGUCGCUAACAGCGACCAUCCGCGAGGAUAGGGAAAGUACCACAGAGACAAUACAGCAACGCUCCGCCUACUGGCGGAUGCAACGCUUAAGGUGAAAAGUGGCCGUAAAACGGUCUCUUGGAUAUGGUGACAUAUCCGAGUGGCAAACCCUUCCCGGUGCAAGGUCGUGCCCCUCACCCAGAAAGAGCUUUGCUCGUCCUUCGCUUUAUCGGUAAUACUUUUAAUUUGUGAUUGGCGGGUUCAGCAAGAUUUGUAUCGAGUUUGAGCGCAAAUCAAGAAAGGCUUUUUCUGGGUGAGGGGAGUGCCGCUUGAGGCGUGUUGGCAACAACGCGUCCAGAUAAAUGGCUCCUCAUUUCCGAUGUUAAAUCGGGAUGGACAGAAUUCGGCUUAUAGUAUUUAAGGAUCA
rnacentral:RNase_P_RNA from 2 species